GGAAUAACAAAAGUAGAAAUAUCUUGUUUUAGAAAGGGAAAAAUUAUUCUUAAAAAAAUACAUAAUUUAUCGCAAAAUUUGAUCUAAGCGUCACUGAUGAGUCUUGUGUAGACGAAACACGCGUUUGGCGUAUUAAAUUAUAAUUCUGGUACUUUUGAUAACUAUUUGUACUAGUAGUAGUAUCAUUUUUCUCUCCCACGGCAACGCAAAUACAAAACAGAAUAUAAAAACAAAAUUGGCCAGAAUUCAACUUUCAAAUAAGUUCAUGAAAAAGAGGCGAAAAUUAUCAAAGGAACAGAAAAACUUGUAAGUAAAAAAUAAACUAACAGCGUCAUGGCUAAAACAGAAAAGACCAACAGACAUAUAUCAGUGCACAAAACACAACAUGGCAAACCAAAGACUCAGCAACACGAUC
rnacentral:lncRNA from 1 species